GUGCUGAGGAGACGUUAGGCUGUUUAUCUCACAGCAAGAUCCUCACACAGGGAGAAGAGGAGUGUGGGGGCUACUCUCAGUGAAGGCUUUGCACAAAGACAAGGUGGAUCUGAUAUUGACGUCUUUCUCUCACUCCCUGCAUGAAAUUGAACCGUACUAGAACUUAAAGGGAAGGUGAAGCGUGGGUGUAAGAAGCACUUAGGGUGAGCUCAGAUUGUGAGAGCAGGAGCAGUUCAGCAACAUAAUAGCUAAGCUGUGGCUUAUGGAGUGACCACACUUAAAGGAUGUUUACUUUGCUCAUUUACUGUAUAUCAGA